AACGAACGCUGGCAGCAUGCCUAACACAUGCAAGUCGAACGAGACCUUCGGGUCUAGUGGCGAACGGGUGCGUAACGCGUGGGAACCUGCCCUUAGGUUCGGAAUAACUCCCCGAAAGGGGUGCUAAUACCGGAUAAUGUCUUCGGACCAAAGAUUUAUCGCCUUUGGAUGGGCCCGCGUUGGAUUAGCUAGUUGGUAGGGUAAAAGCCUACCAAGGCGACGAUCCAUAGCUGGUCUGAGAGGAUGAUCAGCCACACUGGGACUGAGACACGGCCCAGACUCCUACGGGAGGCAGCAGUGGGGAAUAUUGGACAAUGGGCGAAAGCCUGAUCCAGCAAUGCCGCGUGAGUGAUGAAGGCCUUAGGGUUGUAAAGCUCUUUUACCCGGGAUGAUAAUGACAGUACCGGGAGAAUAAGCUCCGGCUAACUCCGUG
rnacentral:rRNA from 1 species